rnacentral:lncRNA from 1 species
ACCUCAGAACAGCCAUUCUUGAGGCAUUCUCCUCCGAGAACACAGCCAUGUGUCCACCUCAGCUGUUCAUCCUCAUGAUGCUUUUAGCACCUGUAGUUCAUGGUGGCAAGCACAAUGAGAGACAUCCAGCCCUCGCUGCUCCACUGCGACAUGCUGAGCACAGCCCAGGAGGCCCUCUCCCUCCCAGACAUCUUCUUCAGCAGCCAGCUGCAGAGCGCUCUACAGCUCAUCGAGGACAAGGGCCACGUGGAACUGCCAGAGGAGUUCGCGGACCCGGUGCCCCAGGAGCACAGAUUGCAGCCCAAGCUUUCAGCCGCGCCCCAAUUCCCAUGGCAGUGGUCCGCAGAGAGCUCUCCUGUGAGAGCUACCCCAUUGAGCUACGCUGUCCAGGCACAGACGUCAUCAUGAUCGAGAGCGCCAACUACGGGAGGACAGAUGACAAGAUCUGUGACUCGGACCCUGCUCAGAUGGAGAAUAUUCGGUGUUAUCUGCCAGAUGCCUAUAAGAUUAUGUCUCAAAGGUAUGGUGCCUAAGACCUCUUCCUUUCAUGGGUAUCAAAAGUCAGUGUAAAUUUGCUCGACAGACAGUGUGGAUAAGGGUAUCAGGUAGUGGGUGUUUUAGAAGAAUUCAAGUUUCCACUGAAGAUCACACCCCUAUCACUGGAGUGGCCGUGUUACAAUCAGCACCAUGAACUUGGAAAACAGUAAGCUCAGUAGCGUUAUUAGUAAGUUUAAUGUAGUAGGCCUAGUGUUGUGUUCUGCUAGGGUUCUCUAAAAAUGGAUUGGUUAUAAUAGAGACAAAAUUUUCUCUUAA